UACGGAGGGGUGCAAGCGUUGUUCGGAAUUACUGGGCGUAAAGGGCGCGUAGGCGGCCCGCUAAGUCGAACGUGAAAUCCCCGGGCUCAACCCGGGAACUGCGUCCGAUACUGGUGGGCUUGAAUCCGGGAGAGGGAUGCGGAAUUCCAGGUGUAGCGGUGAAAUGCGUAGAUAUCUGGAGGAACACCGGUGGCGAAGGCGGCAUUCUGGACUGUAACUGACACUGAUGAACGAAAGCCAGGGGAGCAAACGGG
rnacentral:rRNA from 1 species